GACGAACAGUGCGAGCGUUAUUCGGAUUUAUUGGGUGUAAAGGGUACGUAGGUUGUCAUUUAAACAAAGUGCGAAAAUACUGGGGUUAUAACCUUAGAAGUUGUUCUUUACGAUUAUAUGGCUCUGAGUUAAAGAGAGGUUAGAAGAAAUUCUAGUGGAGAGUUAAAAUCUUUCGAUAUUAGAAUGAAUACCAAUGGCGAAGGCAUCUUUCUGGCUUUAACUGACGCUGGAGGUACGGAAGCGUGGGGAGCAAACAGG
rnacentral:rRNA from 1 species